GAUGAACGCUGGCGGCGUGCCUAAUACAUGCAAGUCGAGCGAACAGACGAGGAGCUUGCUCCUCUGACGUUAGCGGCGGACGGGUGAGUAACACGUGGAUAACCUACCUAUAAGACUGGGAUAACUUCGGGAAACCGGAGCUAAUACCGGAUAAUAUAUUGAACCGCAUGGUUCAAUAGUGAAAGACGGUUUUGCUGUCACUUAUAGAUGGAUCCGCGCCGCAUUAGCUAGUUUGUAAGGUAACGGCUUACCAAGGCAACGAUGCAUAGCCGACCUGAGAGGGUGAUCGGCCACACUGGAACUGAGACACGGUCCAGACUCCUACGGGAGGCAGCAGUAGGGAAUCUUCCGCAAUGGGCGAAAGCCUGACGGAGCAACGCCGCGUGAGUGAUGAAGGUCUUCGGAUCGUAAAACUCUGUUAUUAGGGAAGAACAAAUGUGUAAGUAACUAUGCACGUCUUGACGGUACCUAAUCAGAAAGCCACGGCUAACUACGUG
rnacentral:rRNA from 1 species